CUACGGGGUGCUGCAGUGAGGAAUAUUGCACAAUGGGGGGAACCCUGAUGCAGCAACGCCGCGUGGAGGAUGACGCAUUUCGGUGUGUAAACUCCUUUUAUAUGUCAAGAAAAUGACGGUAGCAUAUGAAUAAGCACCGGCUAACUCCGUGCCAGCGAGGCCGCGGUAAUACGGAGGGUGCAAGCGUUACUCGGAAUCACUGGGCGUAAAGGACGCGUAGGCGGGUUGGAAAGUCAGGUGUGAAAUCCUACAGCUUAACUGUAGAACUGCACUUGAAACUUCUAAUCUAGAGUAUGGGAGGGGGAGAUGGAAUUAGUGGUGUAGGGGUAAAAUCCGUAGAUAUCACUAGGAAUACCUAAAGCGAAGGCGAUCUCCUGGAACAUUACUGACGCUAAGGCGUGAAAGCGUGGGGAGCAAACAGGAUUAGAUACCCGUGUAGUC
rnacentral:rRNA from 1 species